rnacentral:rRNA from 1 species
CACGGAGGGCGCAAGCGUUGCUCGGAAUCACUGGGCGUAAAGCGGGUGUAGGCGGGCUAGCAAGUCAGAUGUGAAAGCCCACGGCUCAACCGUGGAAGUGCAUCUGAAACUGCUAGACUAGAGUGCCGGAGAGGGAAGUGGAAUUCCUGGUGUAGGGGUGAAAUCCGUAGAUAUCAGGAGGAACACCGGUGGCGAAGGCGACUUCCUGGACGGCCACUGACGCUGAGACCCGAAAGCGUGGGGAGCAAACAGGAUUAGAAACCCUAGUAGUCC